rnacentral:rRNA from 1 species
AGCGAACGCUGGCGGCAGGCCUAACACAUGCCAGUCGAACGAACUCUUCGGAGUUAGUGGCGGACGGGUGAGUAACACGUGGGAACGUGCCUUUUGGUUCGGAAUAACUCAGGGAAACUUGUGCUAAUACCGAAUGUGCCCUUCGGGGGAAAGAUUUAUCGCCAUUAGAGCGGCCCGCGUCUGAUUAGCUAGUUGGUGAGGUAACGGCUCACCAAGGCGACGAUCAGUAGCUGGUCUGAGAGGAUGACCAGCCACACUGGGACUGAGACACGGCCCAGACUCCUACGGGAGGGAGCAGUGGGGAAUCUUGCGCAAUGGGCGAAAGCCUGACGCAGCCAUGCCGCGUGAAUGAUGAAGGUCUUAGGAUUGUAAAAUUCUUUCACCGGGGACGAUAAUGACGGUACCCGGAGAAGAAGCCCCGGCUAACUUCGUG